rnacentral:rRNA from 1 species
CGAAGGAUGCAAGCGUUAUCCGGAUUCAUUGGGUUUAAAGGGUGCGUAGGCGGACUGAUAAGUCAGUGGUGAAAUCUCUCAGCUUAACUGAGAAACUGCCAUUGAUACUGUUAGUCUAGAGUAUAGAUGACGUUGGCGGAAUAUGACAUGUAGUGGUGAAAUACUUAGAUAUGUCUUAGAACACCGAUUGCGAAGGCAGCUAACGAAACUAUAACUGACGCUGAGGCACGAAAGUGCGGGGAUCAAACAGGAUUAGAUACCCUGGUAGUCCGCACCGUAAACGAUGAUUACUCGUUGUUGGCGAUAUGACAGUCAGCGACCAAGCGAAAGCGAUAAGUAAUCCACCUGGGGAGUACGCCGGCAACGGUG